rnacentral:misc_RNA from 1 species
GCCACAGUUAGCCCAGUUAGACCAACACGGGCACGAGCACCAGGGGGCUCGUUCAUUUGACCAUAUACAAGUGCGCAUUUGCUGUCAGCCUGCUUAUCCCCUAGCUUAAUGACACCACUCUCAAUCAUUUCCCUGUAUAGGUCAUUACCCUCACGGGUGCGCUCUCCAACACCAGCAAACACUGAAAAACCACCAUGAGCUUUUGCAACAUUGUUGAUAAGUUC